AUGUGUGUGUGUGCAUGUGCAUGUGUGUAAAUAUAUAUAUAUAUAUUCACAUAUAUAUAUACCAAAAACCCAAAC
rnacentral:miRNA from 1 species